GGAACGGGCUGAGAUGGAGGGCAGCAUCCUCCUCCCAGAGCCAGACUCCAGGAAGCAGGGUUGCCCCCCUGGCCACCAGAUCUGUGUCAACCCAAAUGCUACACACUCACAGAGGCCUCUCCUGGUCACCACUGCUCAAGUCACCUCCUACCAAUUUCAUUUUCUUCCUGUAUUUGUCAUGCCUGAAAUUCUCUGACUUACGUAUUCCUAUUUCUACGGUCCGCCACUUCCUCUAGAAUGGAAACUCCAUAAGAAGAGGACUCUUUCUGUCUUGUUCACUGUUGUGUCCCCAGCACACAUAGCAGAUGCUCAAUAAAUAUUCUUUGGCUCUUGGCCCUAA